rnacentral:lncRNA from 1 species
ACUCUCGGGACGCGGCUGUGGGCUGGGCAGGAGGGAGCCAAGUCUGGGGUGCACUGGGGAGCCCAGAACCACUGCUAUGCUCUGCAAAACUCUGAGGCGCUUCCAAAAGUUUGGAGCUGGGCAUGUAUUUUACUGAUUUCUAAAAAUCGUAAGCGGUUGUUCGGGGGGAGGAGAAGGGUGUUGGGGUGACGGGGUGUCCGCGCUGGAGACUCAGCUGUGUGCGCCCUGAUUCAGACGAGGGAGGCCUUCCAGGUGGGGGUGGGCAGGGAGCUUCUGGGGAAGAAUGCAUCCUGAGGGCGGAGAGCUACAGGGUAAGGGGGCCAGG